rnacentral:lncRNA from 1 species
AGCGCUGAGUCCCAGAAAAACAGAGCGGGGCCAGCUGCAGCGUGUAGUGCGAGUGGGGCGGACGCGCGCAGCCCGCCCGCCCGGCGACCAGCAAGACGGAGUCUCACUCUGUCGCCCAGGCUGGAGUGCAGCGGCGUGAUCUUGGCUCACUGCAAAGUCUGCUUCCCUGGUUCAAGCGAUUGUCCUGCCUCAGCCUCCUGAGUAGCUGGGAUUACAGGUACUUCAAGAAGGACAAAGCAGUUUGGUACUUUUCCAGGCAACUAUGUAAAACCUUUGUAUCUAUAAGAAGACUGAAAACCAUGGAGAUUAUUUUUAUUGGAGGAGGAAGCAUCAUUCAUGAACCGAUCUUUUUAGUUGAGUCAGUAGGAAAAUUAAUACAGUGGAUAAAGUAAGAAGCAAAAGACAGGGACAGAGAAGUGUUGUGUUUAAAACCCAAGCCUGUCUAAGGUUACUGUGUAUUAGACAGGGCCGAACUAGUGUGCUGAGCAAAAAGAAUUGAAGCAAAUUGUAUUUACUUAGCCGCUUCUGGGAGCCACUUCAGCCUUUCCCCUCCCCUCCACUUCUUGGGUAAUCUGACCUGAAGCAUAGUCCAGGAGCAGAGUUAGCCAGAAAUGCCUCCUGCUGCCCCAGCCUUAGAGAGCUCCCAUCUCAAUCAUUGAGCCUGAAGGCUUCAAGCCCAAGAAUGCAACAAGACCCCCAGCCUACAUUUCUCAGCUCCCCUGGAGCCAGCUGAUCCUGUAACGCUGCUGGAGGUCAGUCUGAGCUACCAAGACUGUCCCUAGACAAAGGUGGAGUCCCCCACACUGCCCAAGACCAAAUCCCUCACUCAACCUGCUGAGGUGUGGAUGGGGAAACAGAGGCAAAACUGAGGCACCUGAUGCAUUCAGCCUGCUGUGCAGCAGUGCCAUUGACUGCCCUGAUGUUCAGAGAGAAACGCACACAAGGUUUGCCCAUGAGAAUUGGGGAGCAGAUGGCCAAGCAGAUAGGUUAUGUCUGUUUUCUGAGUGAUGAAGUCAGGAAGCCCUGUGGCUCUGGAGGCCACUUGUGGUUCAUUCUUUUCCCAUAUCCUUGGCUUUUAGAAAUGGUUACCUUCAGGACAGUGCAGCUGCAUUUAUCAGAGCACUAUUGCUAAGUUUUCUUUUCUGGCUUGUGUUUUUCUGGGACAGUUUAGAAUUGGGAGGCCUAUUCUCAUAGAACACCAAAAAUGAUGUUCAGUGAUUCAUUUAACAUACACCAAUGUACUCUGGCUGCUGGGGGGACAACCAUAAGCAAGACAUGCCCAGGGUUUGCCGUGGCUCCAGAUCUACUCCCUGUAGGAGUUCAAGGAUCACACAAACGGUAGUAACCAGGGUUGUGAAUCUGAGUACACCCUGGCAAGGCUUCUCUUCAGACUGAAGCAGCAAUUCUGCCACUACCAGCAGCAACCAGGACGUCUGUUCUUUGUGGGGGCCAGAUCAGAAGAGAGAGGCCCCUGUGACGCCCGGGCUGCUUGGUCACAACUCUGUCCAAUUCAAGGAUGUUUAUCGGCCUCUCUUAGAUCCUGAGUGAGACAAAUACAGAAAUGACCCAUUCCCUGCCCACCAGAAACUCAGAGGUGAUUGGGGAGACUGACACAGGAAAAUGAACUUAAUCAAGAGAGACUGUGAUAUGUGCUAAGAAGGGUGUGAGGGAGGGAGAGAUGAAUUUUCCCUGGAGGGAUCCUAGAAAGCAUUGUCAUAUUGCCAUCUCCAUUAGCUCACUUUUAAACAACUAGGGUGCUGGAAGAACCUUUGUCUGAGGGUAGUUCAUAGCUGGAAAUACUUGGAAUAUUUUCCAGAGUCUCUAAACUCUCAUCUUCCCCCACAGAUACACAUCCAAGCUCACAAAUAGGAGUAGCAAUUCUAGGUGGUAGGGUUGUGUACGGAACCCCUGGCUGUCUGCAUAUAUCUCAGAAUUACCCCAGGACCAUUGUCCCAAAGUCUAGAGUCUUUACAGGUAGGCAAAAUUUGUUUUCAAUGCCUGUGCCUCAGCUGCUGUCACAAAUACCCAUCUUAGGAUCCCAUCAGCUUCCCAUCCCCCACCAGACAGCCACAGUACCCUCACUUUCUCCCUAUUGUUCUUUCAAAUCCUGUUCUCAGGAAAGAAACUGCCACUAAUUCAUUCACACUAAGGUGUAAAUGAUUGAUAAUAGGAAUGAGUUACCUCUUCCCACAGACAUUUGUUUUUAAGUAUGACAGAGCAGGGCCUUAAUCCCAAGGGAAAAGGUUAUGGAACUGGAGGGGGUGAGCUUUCUGGGUAGAAGGAGACUUCCUGAAUUUCCUUAAAACCCAGUAAGAGUAAGACCUGUUGUUUUGGAAGGUCUGCUCCACCAUCUAAGAGCACUGUUUUUUUUUUUUUGUUGUUGUUGUUGUUUUACGGUCUCUGAGGGAAUAUAGUAAAAAUGCAUAUGCACGUGCAAUUUGCACGGCAGCAUUUCACCGAUUGUGGACUGUAUUGGCUAAUGUGUUUCCUGGUCUUUAGAUGCAAACCAUUAAUAACACUAUCUUAUCUCAUAGUUUUUUCAGGGGUGCUUCUUGAUUAGUAGGGAAUUUUGAACACCUCUUUAAAUACAGCUAGAAAAUAAAACCAAUUUGUAAAGCCACAUUUGCAUAUGAUGCCAGCCUCACGCAUUUGUAUAUCUCCAGAAAUUCAGGUAUGCCUCACCAAUUUGCCCGUCUUUAAUAAAAUCUUGUGUUAAAAUUUGCAUCACGUCGCCUUCCUAUGUAUGACGAAACAAGAAACAGAGAUUUCCAAUUGCUCUUUUGUCUUCAGACAUUUAGUAAUAUAAAGUACCUAUUUUUAUGCUGAAAUGUUUAUACAGGUUUAUUAAUAGCAAGUGCAACUAACUGGCGGCAUGCCUUGCAACACAUUUUGAUAUAUUAGCCAUGCUUCCGGGUAAAGGCAAGCCCCAAACUCCUUAUCUUUUGCAGUCUCUCUGGGAUCAGUAAAAGAAAAAAAAAAUAAUGUGCUUAAGAAGUGGGACUGUAAAUAUGUAUAUUUAACUUUGUAUAGCCCAUGUACCUACCUUGUAUAGAAAAAUAAUUUUAAAAAUUUGAAUGGAAGGGGGUAAAGGAAGUCAUGAAGUUUUUUUGCAUUUUUAUUUAAAUGAAGGAAUUCCAAAUAACUCACCUACAGAUUUUUAGCACAAAAAUAGCCAUUGUAAAGUGUUAAAAUUUACGAUAAGUAUUCUAUUGGGGAGGAAAGGUAACUCUGAUCUCAGUUACAGUUUUUUUUUCCUUUUUAAUUUCAUUAUUUUGGGUUUUUGGUUUUUGCAGUCCUAUUUAUCUGCAGUCGUAUUAAGUCCUAUUGCUAGAAUAGGUUACUACAAAAAAGGUUAUAUUCUGAAAGAAAAAUAACUGACAUUAUAUAUAACCAAUUAAUUUAAAGUAUUGCCAUUUAAAUUACACACUGAGAGCAUGUCCUAUGCAGACAUAGAUUUUUCUGUUCAUUUAUUUUUCUUCAUUGCAGUGGAUUGAUUUGAUAAAUAGAUGUGUUGAAUUACUACAUUUGCUGUACAUAUUAUUUAAUAAACUUUAUUCAGAAUUGCGUGGC